rnacentral:rRNA from 1 species
GAAAAGAAACCAACAGGGAUUGCCUCAGUAACGGCGAGUGAAGCGGCAAAAGCUCAAAUUUGAAAUCUAGCACCUUCGGUGUUCGAGUUGUAAUUUGAAGAUGGUAACCUUGGGUUUGGCUCUUGUCUAUGUUCCUUGGAACAGGACGUCAUAGAGGGUGAGAAUCCCGUCUGAUGAGAUGCCCAUUCCUAUGUAAGGUGCUAUCGAAGAGUCGAGUUGUUUGGGAAUGCAGCUCUAAGUGGGUGGUAAAUUCCAUCUAAAGCUAAAUAUUGGCGAGAGACCGAUAGCGAACAAGUACAGUGAUGGAAAGAUGAAAAGAACUUUGAAAAGAGAGUGAAAAAGUACGUGAAAUUGUUGAAAGGGAAGGGCAUUAGAUCAGACUUGGUGUUUUACGAUUAUCUUCUCUUCUUGAGUUGUGCACUCGUAUUUCACUGGGCCAGCAUCGAUUCGGAUGGCAAGAUAAUGGCAGUUGAAUGUGGCUUCACUUCGGUGGAGUGUUAUAGCUUCUGCUGAUAUUGCCUGUCUGGAUCGAGGGCUGCGUCUUUUGACUAGGAUGCUGGCGUAAUGAUCUAAUGCCGCCCG